AGUGAACGCUGGCGGUAGGCCUAACACAUGCAAGUCAAACGGCAGCACAGUAAGAGCUUGCUCUUACGGGUGGCGAGUGGCGGACGGGUGAGGAAUACAUCGGAAUCUACUUUUUCGUGGGGGAUAACGUAGGGAAACUUAAGAUAAUACAGCAUACGACCUACGGGUGAAAGCAGGGGAUCUUCGGACCUUGCGCGAUUGAAUGAGCCGAUGUCGGAUUAGCUAGUUGGCGGGGUAAAGGCCCACCAAGGCGACGAUCCGUAGCUGGUCUGAGAGGAUGAUCAGCCACACUGGAACUGAGACACGGUCCAGACUCCUACGGUAGGCAGCAGUGGGGAAUAUUGGACAAUGGGCGCAAGCCUGAUCCAGCCAUACCGCGUGGGUGAAGAAGGCCUUCGGGUUGUAAAGCCCUUUUGUUGGGAAAGAAAAGCAGCAGGUUAAUACCCCGCUGUUCUGACGGUACCCAAAGAAUAAGCACCGGCUAACUUCGUG
rnacentral:rRNA from 1 species